ensembl:lncRNA
AGGAUAAAGGAAGGAAACUGGAAAUGGAAGACGCUGCCAGGAACAGAAGACUAUUGAAUGAGCAGAUGUGACUAGGAGGUUGGCGGAAGGGUCUAAGGAGGUGUAGGAAACAGUGGUAUAUCCAGAUGACAUUAGCAUUAAAAAAACAGUGAUUUUUGCAGGAGGGAAAGUGUGAGAUAAUUUGAAAGUAGCAAUGUACCUACCUCAACUCCUGGCCCUGAUGUUCACUCAGGGCCCAGGUAUGUUUCAAGUAAGGCAAGGAGGUGAAGGGACUGUUUGAAGGAAAGGGAACUGCUGAUCACAGAUUGGGGUCACAGAGACACUGAAAGGAUUUGUUUGGGAAGGAAGAGAAGUGGAGAAGAUAAACAGAGCUGUGGGUUAAGAAGUGGUGAAAAACAAUGACUGAGAGAGGCGGAGACUCCUGCAGAUUAGUGAGGUACACAGGGAUGUGAAGCGUGGUGGGACUGGUUCUGAGAGGCUCACCUUGUAAUACUGUUGGUGGUGUGUUAGCCUCAGGCAUUAAGUUAUGGCAUGCCCUCAGGACUAAUAGUUACUCUCUCAGCAGCUGAGAGUUCUAGAAUCAUCUGCCACAAUAAGCUCCAUUAUCUUGGGCAAGGAAUUUAGUGCCUCUCAAAACCUCUUAAAACCUCAUGUUCGCCAUCUAUGCCAUGAGGAGUUCGUCUAAGUAAUCUCUUGAACUUCUUCAGACAUUUUAAAUAUCUGAGUGUGAAGGAAUGGGAUCAUGCCACUGAGAAAGGAAGUCCUGGACCUGAGAGCAUUUGGCUGUUGAGUUUCCUCAGUCUUCUUUAAUCUGGAAGCUUUCUUCAAUCUUUGCUUGCCUGUCAUGACCUUGGCAUUUUGCCUGUGCAGCCCACGGAAGGAUCCUGCAGCCCGCUUUCUGGACAUGAGACCCAGACGGCCCUGAAGAGCAUCUUUACGUGGAGGAGAUUCAGAGCAACUUUGAGGAGAGGAUGGCUGACCAUCUAACAUAAAACCUAGACUAGGGGAAGGACUGGGUUAAAGGCUGCAGGAGAGCCGUGUUCCUUGAAUUCCAUGCAGGGAAUUUUAAGAGUCAAGGAGAUUGAGUAUCAUAAAUGUGAAGGUGUUCACCUGAGACAGAUCAGCCAACUGGAACUUCAACACAGGAUUUCAACCCAGGCUGUCCAGGCUUUUCCUGUCAUGUCAUACUGCCUUUUAAAACAGACAGUUGUUUGCAUUUGACAAAAAACUUCAUGAGGAACUGACAUGCCAGCACAGAUGAAGUGGGACAUAAACACCAUGCACAGAGGUACACAUCCAAUCCAAGAAGAGGAUGCAGACCAGACAAGGUCAGAAACAUUCCCCUUUGCCACAGAGCUAAGAAUGCAUCAGUCCCCUAGAGAGCAAAGAUUUAAAAAGUUAAUGCCAGACCCAUAAUGCGUAUUAUUUGUAUUUACAUGUAUACAUUAUUGUAUUUUAUUUGUAACAUGUCCAUGUGCUGCUAUCAUUCGGGUUUAUACAUUGAGUUAUUCUCAACAUUUCCUUUCGUUGUCUUUGUAUUGUCUUGAUGUAUUAUAAGGCCUUUAAUUUAAUUAAACCAGACGAACACAACUGACAAUUACAGCCAGGAAUUUGGAACCAGACAAAAGCAGAACGAUACCUUAAUAAGGCUAAUUCUUGACUAUGCUAGAAGUUACAAAUUCACUCAAAUUUUGAGCGCAUUUUAGAGCAAGGCAUUGUGGAAGAUACAAAAAUCAAUCAACUAUGGGUUCUGCCAUCAAAGACCUAGCAAUCUAGGAUGGGAGAUACAACACAUUUAGUAAAAAAGUUGUAAAAGAAUAUGUUGUGUCAUAUAUGAGACAGAGAUAAAAAGUGGCUAGAAAAGCGAGUUUCAGUUAUUACGGUUGCUAACAAGUUAUCCCAAGCCUCAGCAGUGUUAAAUACCUAUUUAUUAUUCUGUGGUUCAGGAAUUAGGACAGGGCACAGCAGGGACAGUUUGUCUCUGCUUCGUGAUGUCUGGGGCCUCAGCUGAUGACCUGAAUCUUGGGGGCUGGAAUCAUCUGAAGGCUCAUUUGUUUUCUUGUCUGGGAGCUGAUGCUGUAUAGACUCAAAGGACUGGUGAGCUGGAAUAGCUGGGGCUCCUCAGGCGUCCCUAUGUUUUGUGGUCUCUCCACCUGGUCUCUCCCUCAUGGCCUGUGUCUUGAGAGAGCAGCAGGUAGAAGCUGUACGGCCUUUUUGAACCCAGCUUUACUUCAAAUUCAUUUCUGCCACGUUCUGUUUGUUAGAAUCAAUUGACUAAGGCUGUCCCAUAUUUAAAGGGAAGGGAAUUAGACUCCACCUUUUGUAGGAGUAGUGUCAAAGAAUUUGUGGGCAUGUUUUAAAAUCAUCACACUGGGUGAAAAUCAGGAAAUUGAAUGGAUAUUGAAAAAUGAAUUUAAUAUGAAUGAGUAGAGGUAAGACAAAUGGAAGUCAACACAGGGAUCUACAUCAGCAGCAGGUAAACAACGCAUGAGCCGAACAGACUGGUUAGGCUAGGCAUUGGGAGUGUAGGAAAUAAGGCUGAAAACAUAGAUGGGGAUGAAGAUGUGCCAAGCUAAGGAGCAUGGAUUUGACUCAGCUGGGAACAGAACGCUAUUCAGUAGUGGUUUUCAACCUUGGUUGCCAUUGGAAUCAUCUGAGGAGCCUUAAAAUAACCAAUGCCUGGGUUCCACCCCCAGAGAUUCUAAUCUAGUUGUUCUGGAAUGGAGCCUAAGCAUCAGGACUUUUGAAAGCUUCCCAGGUGAUUCUUAUGUCAGCCAAGGUUGAGAACCAGUGCUCUGAAGGAUUUUGAGGAGAGAAGUGAUGUUAUCAGGAAUCAGUUUGCAUUCUUUCUCUGGGAAACCAGUUUUGCUUUUCCCGGAUGUCUUCUGGAACUCCAUCCCUACCUGAGGCUUCCACGCUGGAUUACAGGCAUUCCUAGGCUCUCUCUUAACCACCACUCAUAGCUUGCAUCACUGUUUUAAUUGUUUGCUUUCUAUAUCCCCUCUGGAUAUGACUCUUCUAUGUCAAAAUUAUUCAUUGUAGAAUUCCCUAGCCCAAUGCCUGGCAUGAAAUAUUAAAUAAAAUAAUGAAUGUUUGGGAUAAACUAAUGUGACAUGAAUGUAGGGGACACGGUAGUCUGAGCCAGGUUGCAGAGGGCCUUAAGUGUGCUUCUAAAUGAGGUUACAGAUAUUAUCACGUGCUGGGCAGCAGGGAUCCAGUGACGACUUUGAGUGGUAAAAGGACGUGGUGCCUCUGGUGGCAAGUGGGGUGUGGACUGGAAUGGGGAAUGGCUGGCAGCUGGAAGACAUGGCCCUGAUCUCCCUCUCUGAGGGGAACUGAUGCAGUCAGUGUAUAGAGAUAGGAGUGUACUAGCCUGCAGCCUGGUUAUGGGCUGGGGGCGGGGGGAGGAGGGGACACAUUCUGAAUAAUAACAUCCUAUGGGAUUUCUAAGUUUGUGACCAAGCUGGCAUCUGCAUCUAGGUUACUGGGUUCUAGAACAUGGAGUGGAGGCAUAGGAAGGCCAAGAAUAGGAGGUCGGGAAGUGAGGACGUGAAAGAAUUCCCUGUGCUGAGCAGCAUGCAGCCACCAUGAAUAUUUACUGGAGGCAGCUUGCCUGUUAAGGGUAGUGACAGACUGGUGGGUAGAGAGAAGAGGGAGAAAUCAAAAAAGACUUUGGUUUGGGUAACCUGGUGAGUGCUGAUGCUUUAGCAGGUUAGGGAGAGGAGGAGGAGAGGAGAAGGAGCAGCAGCAGCUUGCUAGGGCUGCAAUCAGAUUGGACAACGAGGGAGGGAGGAAUAGGUGGCAGAUACUUCAUGGAUUUUCUUGAGUCCCAGUUGGGGAACUUAGACAAAAAAUCAAGAUUUUUCAUUGUGUUUUAAAUUUAAUCUGUGAGAAUCACUUUAUUUUACUCAUAAAAGCUUUUUUAUGAACAGCAAUGCCUUAGCUGUGUUCCUAGUUCUAAGAGAGCCUCUUCAAACUUUUUACACAAGUCUAGUUAAUUAGGGUCAGAUCAAGGAGGUCUGAGUCGAUGGGUUAAGCGUCUUCAGGUUGGUGAGUAAGAUCAGCCUCCUAGGGCAAAUGGUUUAAAUAUUUAAGCAAAUUUUUUUUCUAUAAUAAAUAUUUUCCAUGUAGUUGCCUAUAAUAAACACUCACAGUCUCAAGAUGGUAAAUCAGCAGAACUUGGAACCACCUACACAAAAUGUUCACUAUAUGGAGAAAGAAAAUAGACUUAGAUCAAAACCUAAUUUUAUGACAAGUUAUAGAGUAAGUACCACUUUAAGAUACAUUUUUAUGGUAACUGAUAUGUAAAUAUUCUCGAAUCUUCUCUCUUAUCUAUCCAAAAAAGGGCUAAUUGUUAAGCUAGUGCUUUGCAUUUCCAAAAUUACUUCCAUCAACAGCUUUGUAAACUUUCUCUUAAAUCGUUUGCCAGAAUAAUUAUGGCCUAUGGAUUUAAAUAGGAUUUUAUACCGUUUUGUUAAUUAGCUUAGUCAAAGAUAUUUGGGGCUUAUCAUACUGAAUGAAAUAUUGUUCUAUUUCUUUUUUCUUACAGUGUUUUUUUUCCUCAGCCUAAAAUAGGUGUACUCGUUCCUGUGCCAAAGAGUAUGAAAAGUCUCAGGAAGAAUUUGGCAGUUUUUCCUAGAGUAUAUAUUUUGCUUGAGGAACUUGUCAGUUGCAAAAUGGGGGAGGCUAAUUAUUUUAACACAUUUUUAUAUUAAAAUAAAUAUGUUAUGCUAGAAUGAAAAUUCACAUGAAUUUAUGCAUAUUAAAAAAGAACUGCACACAAGACUUCAAAUAGCUAUUAAGCUGGGUGCCAGCAUUUUCAGCUUCUCACUCCAUCUCUGGGUGAGGUUUCUUGCCUUCUAAAGAUGGUCUUGUAGAUGGGGCAUUUAUACCCAUCACUCUGGGUUCUGUUCUAAACAGACUUGAAGAAGAUGUCAUAAGAGAAUCAAGAGCCCAGAAAUAAACCCAAGCAUUUACAGUCAGCUAAUAUUUGACAAGGGAGCUAAGAAUACUCAAUGGAGAAAAGAUAGUCUCUUCAAUAAGUGAUGCUGGAGAAACUGGAUGUUCACAUUCAAAAGAAUGACACUAGACCCCUAUCUUACACCACUCACAAAAAUUAACUGAAAAUAGAUUAAACACUUAAAUGUAAGACCUGAAACCAUAAAACUACUAGAAGAAAACAUAGGGGAAAACUGCCUGACAUGGGUCUUGGCAAUGAUUUUUUGGAUAUAACACAUAAAGCACAAGCAACAAAAUAAAAAGUAAAUAAGUAGGGGGCCAGCCUGGUGGUAUAGUAGUUGAGUUCACACGCUCUGCUUCUGUGGCCUGGGGUUCACGGGUUCAGAUCCCAGGUAUGGGCCCAUGCACUGCUGAUCAAGCCAUACUCUGGUAGGGUCCCACAUACAAAAUAGAGGAAGAUUGCCACAGAUGCUAGUUCAGCGACAGUCUUCCUCAAGCAAAAGGAGAAAGAGUGGCAGCAGAAGUUAGCUCAGGCCCAAUCUUCCUCUCCAAAUAAAUAAAUAAAUAAGUGGGACUUCAUCAAACUAAAAAGCUUCUGCAGAGCAGAAGAAACAAUCAAAAAGUGAAAAGUCAUCCUAUGGAAUGGCAGAAAUAUUUGCAAACCACACAUCUGAUAAGGAGUUAAUAGCCAAAAUAUAUAAGGAACUCAUGCUACUCAAUAGAAAAAAUUAAUAAUUCAAUUAAAAACUGGGCAUAAAACCUGAAUAGACAUUUUUCCAAAGAAAAUAUUCAAAUGGCCAACAGGUAAAUGAAAAGAAUGCUCAACAUCACUAAUCAUCAGGGAAAUGCAGAUCAAAACCACAGAGAUAUCACCUCACAUCUGUUAGAGUGGCUGUCAUCAAAAAGACAAGAAAUAACAAGUGUUGGCAAGGAUGUGGAGAAAAAGGAACCCUUGUGCACUGUUGUUGGUGGGAAUGUAAAUUGGUACAGCCACUAUGGAAAACAAUAUGGAGGUUCCUCAAAAAAGUAAAAAUAGAACUACCACGUGAUCCAGCAGUUCUACUUCUGGGUGUAUAUCUGAAGAAAAUGAAACCACUAUCCUGAAAAUGUAUCUGCACCCCUAUAUUUAUUGCAGCACUAUUCACAGUAGCCAAGACAUGGAAACAGCCUACGUGUCCAUUGAUGGAUGACUAGAUAAAGAAAAUGUGUGUGGGGGCUGUGUAUACACAUAUACAUACAUACAUGGAUACACUCACACACACGUACACACAAUGGAAUAUUACUCAGCCUUUGAAAAGAAGCAAAUCCUGCCAUUUGUGACAACAUGCAUGGACCUUGAGGGCAUUAUGCUAAAUGAAAUAAGUCAGAGAAAGAUAAAUACUGUAUGAUCUCAUUUAUACGUGGAAUCUAAAAAGACCAAACUCAUAGAAACAGAGAUGAGAUUUGUGGUUGCUAGAGGCUGGGGGUGAAGUGGUGGAAAUGGGAGAAGGUGGUCAAAAGGUAUAAACUUCCAAGUUAUAGGAUAAAUAAGCUCUGAUGAUGUAGUGCACAGCAUGAUGACUGUGGGUAAAAUACUGUAUUGUAUCUUUGAAAGUUGCUAAGAGAGUGGAUCUUAAAAGUCUGCGUCACGAGGAAGAAAAACCUAUCACUCUAUGAGGUAACGGACG